rnacentral:rRNA from 1 species
CAGUCGCCGCGGUAAUACGUAGGGUGCGAGCGUUAAUCGGAAUUACUGGGCGUAAAGCGUGCGCAGGCGGUUCGCUAAGACAGAUGUGAAAUCCCCGGGCUUAACCUGGGAACUGCAUUUGUGACUGGCGGGCUAGAGUAUGGCAGAGGGGGGUAGAAUUCCACGUGUAGCAGUGAAAUGCGUAGAGAUGUGGAGGAAUACCGAUGGCGAAGGCAGCCCCCUGGGCCAAUACUGACGCUCAUGCACGAAAGCGUGGGGAGCAAACAGGAUUAGAUACCCCUGUAGUCCCUGUCUCUUAUAA